UCAGCUAGAGCUGGGUCAGGAAUAUUUUUUUCUCAAACACUGACAGAAUGGCUGAAGUGUUCAGAUUUUCCGUGUCAUCACUAAGAUAUCUGUAAGUGCUCCUGUUAUGAUGCAGAAAAUCAUUUUUGAGGAUGUUUAAGGAGUAAGUGCAGCACAGCAUACAACCAUCAUCUUCCACAGUGCAAACUGCUUGCUGAACACAUCGAGGGGUGGAAGCAGGCGAGAAGAGAGUCUGAGGAUCCUGUCUUUCUACUUGGUGUUGCUGGUAACACUUUCAGUGUUCAUUAGGAGAACUGACACAAUGAAUCAGAAGCAAAGAGAGAAAACACAGAGAACAUUGACCUGCUGCAGAAAAAGCCCCUAAAACACUCCUGCUCAUCAUGGGAAGUAAUGGAGCAAGACAGCCGCAGCAUGAAAGUUCAAAAAGAAGAGGUCUUGUUUCUUUAAAACAGAGGACUUAAAAUCAAGCCCGCCUGAAGGGGAACUGAGAGACUCCAGGGUUGCCUCCCAGGUCAGUGGGCAGCCGGGAUGCACCCAUCUUUCCCGGCGCAGGAGGAUUUCCUGCUGUUUUUUCAGGAGUGACCUAGAAGGAGGUUAAUGAUUCCAAAGAAGGACUUUUCCCUCAGGGAAAAUUUAAUCUGGUGACCUUUUUCUCUAUCUGUCCAUUUCUUUUAAGUCAUAGACUCCCUUCAUUUAACUUACAUCAAGC
rnacentral:lncRNA from 10 species